GAGACCAAGAGAAUAUAUAAAAUGAACUGACAAGCUCUUUAUCCAUAUACCAAAUCACAACAUCAUUUCACAUACAACUCUAUAUAAAAAUAUAUAAUUUGAAAUUGACUCUUAACAUGAACUGCUUGCUUUUUCAUACCAACAAUGACAGAAUAUUUGAGAUUGACUCAGAUAAAGGGAUAGAAACAAAAAUAAUCAAAAGGAAAUACAAAUGAGAAGCAUAUUAUAUGCAAUCAAUAGACGCGGUGCUGCUCUCAAAAUGAAAGUUUGUAUAUUUCUUCUGUUUCUCUUUCUCGGAAUGCUGUAUUUAGAAGCAUUUUCUGUGAACAAUUGAAGGUCCAGAUUCAUCAUACUCUGCCUUAGCGAUCCACAUCUGCUGGAAUAUGCUGAGAGAGGCCAAAAUAGAUCCUCCAAUCCAGACACUGUACUUCCUCUCAGGUGGGGCGACAACCUUGAUCUUCAUGCUACUUGGAGGAAAAAAUAUCCAUAGUUAAAUCUUUACGUGCCGCCUUGACAAAUGUUCAUCGCAUUCAGUUUAAAGAGUUAAGUAUUUAGCAUAAACUACUGCUCGGCAUUUGUUCUCAGAUAACUGGCAUUUUUUCUCUUAAGUUAUUAUUGACAAUGGUGUGAUGAGAUAGUGGUUAAACUUUAAGAUUUGCAUGCAAAUAUGAAAUGAAGCAGAAUGCAAGAAGUAAAGAGAUCUUGAUUUCGCAUACCUGCUGGAAUGUGCUGAGAGAGGCCAAAAUAGAUCCUCCAAUCCAAACACUAUACUUCCGCUCAGGUGGGGCGACAACCUUGAUCUUCAUGCUACUUGGAGCUAAUGCAGUAAUUUCCUUGCUCAUCCUAUCAGCAAUGCCCGGGAACAUGGUGGUACCACCACUGAGGACAAUGUUUCCGUACAGAUCCUUUCUGAUGUCAACGUCACACUUCAUGAUGGAAUUGUAUGUGGUUUCAUGAAUGCCAGCAGCUUCCAUUCCGAUCAUUGAUGGUUGGAACAGAACUUCUGGGCAGCGGAAUCUCUCAGCACCAAUGGUGAUGACUUGUCCAUCAGGCAGCUCGUAGCUCUUCUCCACGGAUGAGCUGGUCUUUGCUGUUUCAAGUUCUUGUUCAUAGUCAAGAGCAAUGUAAGCCAACUUCUCCUU
rnacentral:lncRNA from 1 species